GAUAAAGCGGGUGAAAAGCCCGCUCGCCGGAAGACCAAGGGUUCCUGUCCAACGUUAAUCGGGGCAGGGUGAGUCGACCCCUAAGGCGAGGCCGAAAGGCGUAGUCGAUGGGAAACAGGUUAAUAUUCCUGUACUUGGUGUUACUGCGAAGGGGGGACGGAGAAGGCUAUGUUGGCCGGGCGACGGUUGUCCCGGUUUAAGCGUGUAGGCUGGUUUUCCAGGCAAAUCCGGAAAAUCAAGGCUGAGGCGUGAUGACGAGGCACUGCGGUGCUGAAGCAACAAAUGCCCUGCUUCCAGGAAAAGCCUCUAAGCAUCAGGUAACAUCAAAUCGUACCCCAAACCGACACAGGUGGUCAGGUAGAGAAUACCAAGGCGCUUGAGAGAACUCGGGUGAAGGAACUAGGCAAAAUGGUGCCGUAACUUCGGGAGAAGGCACGCUGAUAUGUAGGUGAAGUCCCUCGCGGAUGGAGCUGAAAUCAGUCGAAGAUACCAGCUGGCUGCAACUGUUUAUUAAAAACACAGCACUGUGCAAACACGAAAGUGGACGUAUACGGUGUGACGCCUGCCCGGUGCCGGAAGGUUAAUUGAUGGGGUUAGCGCAAGCGAAGCUCUUGAUCGAAGCCCCGGUAAACGGCGGCCGUAACUAUAACGGUCCUAAGGUAGCGAAAUUCCUUGUCGGGUAAGUUCCGACCUGCACGAAUGGCGUAAUGAUGGCCAGGCUGUCUCCACCCGAGACUCAGUGAAAUUGAACUCGCUGUGAAGAUGCAGUGUACCCGCGGCAAGACGGAAAGACCCCGUGAACCUUUACUAUAGCUUGACACUGAACAUUGAGCCUUGAUGUGUAGGAUAGGUGGGAGGCUUUGAAGUGUGGACGCCAGUCUGCAUGGAGCCGACCUUGAAAUACCACCCUUUAAUGUUUGAUGUUCUAACGUUGACCCGUAAUCCGGGUUGCGGACAGUGUCUGGUGGGUAGUUUGACUGGGGCGGUCUCCUCCUAAAGAGUAACGGAGGAGCACGAAGGUUGGCUAAUCCUGGUCGGACAUCAGGAGGUUAGUGCAAUGGCAUAAGCCAGCUUGACUGCGAGCGUGACGGCGCGAGCAGGUGCGAAAGCAGGUCAUAGUGAUCCGGUGGUUCUGAAUGGAAGGGCCAUCGCUCAACGGAUAAAAGGUACUCCGGGGAUAACAGGCUGAUACCGCCCAAGAGUUCAUAUCGACGGCGGUGUUUGGCACCUCGAUGUCGGCUCAUCACAUCCUGGGGCUGAAGUAGGUCCCAAGGGUAUGGCUGUUCGCCAUUUAAAGUGGUACGCGAGCUGGGUUUAGAACGUCGUGAGACAGUUCGGUCCCUAUCUGCCGUGGGCGCUGGAGAACUGAGGGGGGCUGCUCCUAGUACGAGAGGACCGGAGUGGACGCAUCACUGGUGUUCGGGUUGUCAUGCCAAUGGCACUGCCCGGUAGCUAAAUGCGGAAGAGAUAAGUGCUGAAAGCAUCUAAGCACGAAACUUGCC
rnacentral:rRNA from 1 species